rnacentral:rRNA from 1 species
AANCAUAUCAAUAAGCGGAGGAAAAGAAACCAACAGGGAUUGCCUCAGUAACGGCGAGUGAAGCGGCAACAGCUCANAUUUGAAAUCUGGCUUCNCGGCCCGAGUUGUAAUUUGCAGAGGAAGCCUCGGGGGCGGCACCGGUCUAAGUCUUUUGGAACAGGGCGUCAUAGAGGGUGAGAAUCCCGUACGUGACCGGCCACCAACCCCGUGUGAGGCCCCUUCGACGAGUCGAGUUGUUUGGGAAUGCANCUCAAAACGGGUGGUAAAUUUCAUCUAAAGCUAAUACCGGCCAGAGACCGAUAGCGCACAAGUAGAGUGAUCGAAAGAUGAAAGCACUUUGGAAAGAGAGUUAAAAGUACGUGAAAUUGUGAAAGGG